rnacentral:rRNA from 1 species
UCGCUCUUAUAUAGUACGGCGAGUGACCGGGAAAAGCUCAAAUUUGAAAUCUGGCUGUCUUCGAUAGUCCGAGUUGUAAUCUAUAGAAGCGUUUUCCGUGCUGAACUGUGUCUAAGUCCCUUGGAACAGGGUAUCAAAGAGGGUGAUAAUCCCGUACUUGACACAACCAUCAGUGCUCUGUGAUACGUUCUCUACGAGUCGAGUUGUUUGGGAAUGCAGCUCAAAAUGGGUGGUAAAUUCCAUCUAAAGCUAAAUAUUGGCGAGAGACCGAUAGCGAACAAGUACCGUGAGGGAAAGAUGAAAAGCACUUUGGAAAGAGAGUUAAACAGUACGUGAAAUUGUUGAAAGGGAAACGAUUGAAGUCAGUCGUGUUCAUUGGAUUCAGCUAGUUCUUCUAGUCUACUUCCUUUGAACGGGUCAACAUCAGUUUUGUCCGGUGGAUAAAGGAUUUAGGAAUGUGACUCCCUCGGGAGUGUUAUAGCCUAGGUUCACAUACACUGGGUGAGACUGAGGACUGCAGCUCGCCUUUUGGCCGGGGUUCGCCCACGUUCGAGCUUAGGAUGUUGACAUAAUGGCUUUAAACGACCCGUCUUGAGAACACCGCGAACACACCAA